CCUACGGGUGGCAGCAGUCGAGAAUCAUUCACAAUGGGGGAAACCCUGAUGGUGCGACGCCGCGUGGGGGAAUGAAGGUCUUCGGAUUGUAAACCCCUGUCAUGUGGGAGCAAAUUAAAAAGAUAGUACCACAAGAGGAAGAGACGGCUAACUCUGUGCCAGCAGCCGCGGUAAUACAGAGGUCUCAAGCGUUGUUCGGAAUCACUGGGCGUAAAGCGUGCGUAGGCUGUUUCGUAAGUCGUGUGUGAAAGGCGCGGGCUCAACCCGCGGACGGCACAUGAUACUGCGAGACUAGAGUAAGGGAGGGGGAACCGGAAUUCUCGGUGUAGCAGUGAAAUGCGUAGAUAUCGAGAGGAACACUCGUGGCGGAGGCGGGUUCCUGGACAUUAACUGACGCUGAGGCACGAAGGCCAGGGGAGCGAAAGGGAUUAGAUACCCUUGUAGUC
rnacentral:rRNA from 1 species